AAGGUAGUUUAAUUAAGAAUAGCAGUUUUGGGAAUUGUUGGAGCAGUGGUCUGUCCUUG
rnacentral:tRNA from 1 species